AUGGCUGGGGCGCUGCACAGUUCUUGUUGUCGGGCUCUGUUAUUGUUGGCUGUGCUGUUGCUGACUUUGUCUCCAGGCAAUGCAUUCUACUUGCCUGGCAGCUACAUGCACACAUACUCCCAAGGUGAGGAUAUAUGGGCAAAGGUUAAUUCACUCACGUCCAUUGAGACUGAGAUGCCGUUCAGCUACUACAGUCUGCCAUACUGCCGUCCACCUGGUGGCAUCAAGAAGAGCGCCGAGAACCUGGGUGAGCUUCUCAUGGGUGACCAGAUCGACAACUCACCCUACCGGUUCCGUGUGAAUGUCAAUGAGUCCCUCUUCCUCUGCACCACGAAAGGGCUUAAUGAGAAUGAUGCAAAGCUUCUCAAGCAGCGGGCCCGUGAUCUUUAUCAGGUGAACAUGAUGCUGGACAAUCUGCCUGUCAUGCGUUUCGCUGAGCAGAAUGGUAUCACAGUACAGUGGACUGGUUUUCCUGUUGGUUACACUCCCGCUGGUAGUGCUGAUGAUUAUAUCAUCAACCAUUUAAAGUUUAAGGUCUUGGUCCAUGAGUACGAAGGAACAAAUGUAGAAAUAAUCGGUACUGGAGAAGAAGGAUCUGCUGUCAUAUCAGAGAUGGACAAGAAGGGGAUGUCUGGGUAUCAGAUUGUUGGUUUUGAGGUCGUGCCUUGCAGUGUGAAGCGUGACCCCGAGGAUUUCUCUAAGCUUAACAUGCAUGACACCAUUGAACCUGUGAGCUGCCCGGUGGAGCUUCGAAUGUCCCAAGUGAUCAGGCAACAGGAGAGGAUCACGUUUACCUAUGAUGUUGAGUUUGUGAAGAGUGACAUCAGGUGGCCAUCUAGGUGGGAUGCUUAUCUGAAGAUGGAGGCUGGUGCCAAGGUCCACUGGUUCUCUAUAAUGAACUCCCUCAUGGUCAUCUUGUUCUUGGCAGGAAUCGUCUUUAUUAUAUUCCUGAGAACUGUCAGGAGGGAUCUCACCACAUAUGAAGAGCUCGACAAGGAAGCGCAAGCACAGAUGAAUGAGGAGCUAUCUGGGUGGAAGCUUGUUGUUGGAGAUGUGUUCAGAGAGCCAACUUGUCCCAAGCUAUUAUGCAUCAUGAUUGGUGAUGGAGUUCAAAUUCUGGGCAUGUCAAUUGUAACAAUUGUUUUUUCCACACUUGGGUUCAUGUCUCCAGCUUCAAGAGGAAUGCUUCUUACCGGAAUGAUUAUUCUCUAUCUUUUCCUUGGUAUUGUUGCUGGGUAUGUCAGUGUUCGGCUAUGGAGGACUAUUAAGGGAACGUCUGAAGGAUGGAGAUCACUGUCAUGGUUGACUGCUUGCUUUUUCCCUGGUGUCAUGUUUACUGUCCUUACCAUCUUAAACUUUGUGCUGUGGGGAAGCAAGAGCACUGGAGCUUUACCUAUAUCAUUAUUUUUCACCCUUCUGGCUCUGUGGUUCUGUAUCUCUGUGCCGUUAACGCUUGUCGGUGGCUUCCUUGGUACAAGAGCAGAGCAAAUUGAAUUCCCCGUUCGCACCAACCAGAUUCCUAGAGAGAUCCCUGCACGGAAAUAUCCAUCAUGGCUUCUGGUCCUUGGAGCAGGCACGCUGCCAUUUGGAACCCUGUUUAUUGAGCUGUUCUUCAUUCUGUCGAGCAUCUGGCUUGGAAGGUUCUACUAUGUGUUUGGCUUCCUGCUGAUUGUCCUGCUGAUGCUUGUCAUUGUUUGCGCCGAGGUAUCUGUUGUCCUUACAUACAUGAAUCUCUGUGUUGAGGACUGGAGGUGGUGGUGGAAGGCUUUCUUUGCUUCAGGCUCUGUUGCGCUCUACGUGUUCCUCUACUCCAUCAACUACUUGGUCUUUGAUCUCAGAAGCCUGAGCGGUCCUGUCUCUGCAAUGCUCUACAUCGGCUACUCAUUCCUCAUGGCGUUCGCGAUCAUGCUCGCCACUGGAACCAUUGGCUUCUUGACGUCAAUAUCCUUCGUGCACUACCUCUUCGCGUCCGUGAAGAUCGAUUGA
rnacentral:rRNA from 1 species